rnacentral:lncRNA from 1 species
AUAAUAAUAAAAAAAAGAAAACAGCAAGUAGAAAAGGAAGGCACAGAAAAAAUGAAAGCAUAAUAAUUCACUGAGGAAUCAGCAACCUCAGAAAUUCUAUUUGUUAAUUUUUCUAUAAGGGGCCCAGGAGAGGAAACUAUAAUAAAAUAAUAUUGUGGCCUUCAUCCUCAUGAGUCCUCACCUCCUCCUUCAGUGCAGGAACUUUCUUCUGGAAUAUUGCUGAGGAUCAACACCUUUCCUGCUCACUGGCCGUCCGGUUCAUGGUGGGAACACUUCUCUCCCCAGGGCUGGUUCCCACACUCAUGUCUGAAUAAGCCACGCAGUCUCUCAUUAAAACAAAAAAAAGUCGUUACAGAAGCCUCUUUUUGGGGGAGGCUACUGCAAACUCAGGGAACUCGCUGAACAACCUAUUUAUUGGAACUGACAAUUGUUCGCAAUGGGUUUCCCUACAGGACAGGCUGGUGUGGGGAGAUCUGGUGGUAAAGGCCAAGCACGUAGCACUUCUUCAGCACUGCAUUUACAGAUAGGAAAUGGGACAUGGCUUUCUUCCCAGGAAGAGCCUGUAUGUUUAUAUUACUCCCACAAAGGGAAAUCUGUAAAACCAGACCAUUUUGUCCUAGAGUCAUAUAAAGUCAUAUCAUUUGAUUUUCAGAAACACUUAGAAGAAAAGGACGACUGUAGGCCUGCUUUACUAUGUGCAUAGGUGGGUAGAAGUGAGGAGGGCAUAUUAUAAAAUGAAUUUGCAUUCCAUUGAGCCAACAUGGUUAUAUCAAAUAUUAAAUAUUUUAUUUAUUCAAGGACUACUAAGUGAUUGUGACAUCUAGAGGCCACAUUCCCAGUAAUUAAGAGCAAAUGCCAUAGCUAAUGCACAGGAGAGGGACAAGACUCAGAAGACUUUGGUUAUAAUUCCUAUUCGACCUCUCACUGGCUUUCCAUGUCCAUCUCUACAUAGACAAGGAGCCUGAGGGUAGAGACUGUGUCUCAUUUCUAAUUCUUCGUACUUGGAUUGUACCUGCAAAACAGGCACUCCACAAAUGCUUGUUCACUGAGUAUAUUAGGUGAAUCCACAUGGAACUGCCAGUGUUUUUGGUAAAAAAUAGUAAUCAAAUAUUACAAUUUCAUGUGACUCAACAUAAUAUUUCCAUCUAAUUUUGUCCACAUAUUGUAUGAAUUUGCCUUUCCCUAAAUGUGCUCAUGUUUCUGUGCCCUACUUUUUAAUUGAAAAGCCCUUUCUCCUGUCCUAUAUCGAUCAUAUUCCUUCCUUGAACAUUCUUGUGAAUUACUCAUUCCCAGGCACACCCAGCAUUUGCUAGCUGGUAUCUCUGUGUGUCCUCCUCUAAAUUGUAGUCAUAUUGCAUUUCCUCAGUGCCUACACAAACAUUUGUCAUAAUGUUGAAUUACCUAUCUAAGGAUAAAGUCACUAUAGCUCUGAAACCCAGUUUCCUUCCUAGAGAAAGAAGAUAAUCCCUGCCUGGCCAAUAUAACAGAACUGUUGAGAGUUAACAUAUGAGGACUUAAAAUGAUUAACAGUAAAGCCUCCAGGUUGUUCUUCUUAAAGGGGGUGGUUUGAAAAUGUUAAGUGCUAUUAAUAGGCAAUUUGUUUUCAGCUCAAUCUCAGGGAGGGAUUGACUUCCUAGCCAAAACAUUUCAAAAGAUGCAUCCAGUUGACAGACUGAAAAGAGAAUGUCGAUCACAUAGGGAGGACACACAAAGAGAACACAGACAGAGUCCUUGUGUUGAAGAGAAAGAGACCAAGAAUUGUCACAUGCACAAUUAUUCCCUUUAACUAGUAACAGGGGCACACAGCACUUGAUAGGGUGAACUGAAAGAAAUCAAAGGCUGCAUGUGAGAGCAAACUAAGGACUGCUCUGUGUACAAAUGAAGAACUUUUGGGGGAAUAAUUAUAACAGCAUUAAAGUAAGGAGAGGGGAGGGGAAAAGGAGGCAAGGAGGGAGAAGUGAGGGCUAAGAAUAUCAUAGGACACACAAGAGAGUAUCACAAGUACUUGGAGAAGAUUCUAGACUCAAUGAAGAGUGGCAGACUACUCCCUUAGGCACAAUAGUUAAGGGAUAUUUCUUAGUUCUUAAUUGGGAGAAGCUAGAGACUCAUAAUAAAUAUGUGACUUUUGGCAAGUUGCUGAAUGUUACUUUAAAAACUGGUAUUAAUAGUUCCUAUCUUAUAGAGCUGAUAUAAACAUGAAAUAAGACAUUGAACAUAAACACACUUACAAAGUGCUCAGCAUAUGGCAAGUAUAUAAUACAUAUUGUAAUAGCUCUUAUUAUUUAACAUUGUUUGGCAAACUAUAUGGUCAUUCUCAAGUAAUGUUUUUACUAUAUUCAAGAAUUGUCCAGUUGAAGAACUCUCCAGGAAGAGUCUUGAACUUUACGUAUUUGAUCUAUUAUAAGCAAAACCAGUAAACUGAAUACUGAAGAAGCAGUAUCUAUAGAUGGUUCUAUGACAGAAAUGUUCUCCACCUAUAUUUAUCCACUAUGACAGGCAUUAACCACAUGAAGCCACAGGGCACUUGAAUGUGCUGCUAAGAAAGCAAUUUUUAAAAUUUAAUUAUUUCAAUUUAAAUGGACACAUACCAUAUUGGACAGUGUUGCCCCCCAUACGUACCAAAAGACCUUAUACAGGUCACUGUGGCCUAGUGGGGCUCUGGAUUAGGUGACCUGGAUUUGAAACCAGAAUCUUCCCUUUAGAAGCUGAACUACAUUAAGCAAGUAACUCAGCCUCCCAUGCCUCAGUUUCAACUUUUGCAAUCUGAGGUUGAUAACAGUAUCUACUUUAUUGGCUUGUAAAUUAAAUUAGAGAAUGCAAAUAAAGCAAUGGUUCUCAAAGUUCAGCAUGCCAUCAGUAUCACCUGGAAGGCGAAGACACCAAUUGCUGGGUUCAUCCUCUAGGUUUUUUACUCAACAGGUCUGAGGGAGUCAGAUAAUUUGCAUUCCUAAUGAGUUCCCAGGUGAUGCUCAUGUUGCCGGUCUGGGGACCACACUUGGAAAAACACUGUUAUAAGCCAUUCAGUAUGGUGCCUGAUACACAAUGAGAACUCAAUAGUGUUAUUAUGAUAAGCAUCUUGAUGGUGUACAUCAGUAGGGCUUUUGCAAAAAAAAAUUCACACUUUAUUAGAAAUCUCUAGCCCAUUUUUUGACACAUACUUUUGAUAAAUGUUUAUGGGUCACCUACAAAGGGCAAGACACCCCCACUGUGUUGAGUGACCAGCUGUCAAAGUCGGUUUGAAGCAGGGUUUCAGAGCACCAGUUACAGGACCAUUAUUAUUACCACCUGAAAUAUUUUUCACCAUUUCAACUUCCCACAAAACAUACAGAAAAAAAAAAAUUAGGUUUCUCUCCAAUGUGUCAUCUCCAUUAGAAAGAUUGUGAAGGGCCUAUAAACAAUAAGUGGAAGGGAUGUGAAAAUAGAUCUAGAUUCCAUACUUGUUGGCUCUUUUAUCAACUUCCUGAGAUCACUGGGUGUGAUGGAUUUUUUUUUUUUUUUUUUGAGACGGAGUCUCGCUCUGUUGCCCAGGCUGGGGUGUAGUGGUUUGAUCUCGGCUCACUGCAAGCUCCACCUCCUGG